rnacentral:rRNA from 1 species
AGUGAACGCUGGCGGUAGGCCUAACACAUGCAAGUCGAACGGCAGCACAGGAGAGCUUGCUCUCUAGGUGGCGAGUGGCGGACGGGUGAGGAAUACAUCGGAAUCUGCCCAGUCGUGGGGGAUAACGUAGGGAAACUUACGCUAAUACCGCAUACGACCUUCGGGUGAAAGAGGGGGAUCGCAAGACCUCUCGCGAUUGGAUGAGCCGAUGUCGGAUUAGCUAGUUAGCGGGGUAAUGGCCCACCAAGGCGACGAUCCGUAGCUGGUCGGAGAGGAUGAUCAGCCACACUGGAACUGAGACACGGUCCAGACUCCUACGGGAGGCAGCAGUGGGGAAUAUUGGACAAUGGGCGCAAGCCUGAUCCAGCCAUACCGCGUGGGUGAAGAAGGCCUUCGGGUUGUAAAGCCCUUUUGUUGGGAAAGAAAUCUUUCAGGCUAAUACCCUGGGAGGAUGACGGUACCCAAAGAAUAAGCACCGGCUAACUUCGUG